GUCAGGAUGGUCGAGCGGUCUAAGGCGCCAGACUCAAGAGAAAUCUUGCCCAUGCAACCAAAUGGGUGUUCAAUACACGGAGCGUUCUGGUCCUCUCUGAGGGCGUGGGUUCGAAUCCCACUUCUGACA
rnacentral:tRNA from 1 species